ACCCGUUCUACCAAACCCGUCCCG
rnacentral:siRNA from 1 species